rnacentral:rRNA from 1 species
GACGAACGCUGGCGGCAGGCCUAACACAUGCAAGUCGAGCGCCCUGUCGGGGCUGCGGCGGACGGGUGGGUAGCGCGUGGGGAUAUGCACUUCUCUACGGAAUAGCCUCGGGAAACUGAGAGUAAUACCGUAUACGCCCUGUGGGGGGAAGGUUGUUCGGGGAAGGAUCAGGGCGCGUUGGAUUAUGGGCGGGGUGGGGUGGUGGCCUGGCAAGCCGACGAUCCAUAGCUGGAGUGGGUGAAUGAUCCGUCACACUGGAACUGCGACACGGACUAGACUCCUACGCGACGGAGCAGUGGGGAAUCUUAGACGAGGGGGGCAACUCUGAUAUCGCCAUGCCGGGUGUGUGAUGCAGGCCUUAGUGUUGUACAUCUCCUUGAGCUGGGAAGAUAAUGACGGUACCAGCAGAAGAAGCCCCGGCUAACUCCGUG